rnacentral:rRNA from 1 species
CCUACGGGAGGCAGCAGUGAGGAAUAUUGGUCAAUGGACGAGAGUCUGAACCAGCCAAGUAGCGUGAAGGAUGACUGCCCUAUGGGUUGUAAACUUCUUUUAUAAAGGAAUAAAACGAGGCACGUGUGCCUUUUUGCAUGUACUUUAUGAAUAAGGAUCGGCUAACUCCGUUCCAGCCGCCGCGGUAAUAUGGAGGAUCCGAGCGUUAUCCGGAUUUAUUGGGUUUAAAGGGAGCGUAGAUGGGUUGUUAAGUCAGUUGUGAAAGUUUGCGGCUCAACCGUAAAAUUGCAAUUGAUACUGGCAGUCUUGAGUACAGUUGAGGUAGGCGGAAUGCGUGGUGUAGCGGUGAAAUGCUUAGAUAUCACGAAGAACCCCGAUUGCGAAGGCAGCUUACUAAACUGUGACUGACAUUGAUGCUCGAAAGUGUGGGUAUCAAACAGGAUUAGAUACCCUUGUAGUC